UGGCCCUGGGAGGAGGCGCCCCAGCCCGUCUCUGACGGUCCUUUCUUCCUUCGCAGAGCUCAGCACAGGCCGCAUCCGGGAGAGGCUACUCCUGUGACAGCGAGAGCGGCGUGGACGACAAGGCCUCUGUGGGCUCCGAGAAGCUGUUUUCGCCAGCAGCUGGGAAAGGUGAGUCUGUCCUCGGCGAACUCCUGCCUCAGGUCUCCAGAUUCAGAGGGCUGUGCAGGACUUGGGAGGGUUGGUGGUCCAGGAACGCUGGGUGAGGGCCACAGGGAGCAGUUGUCUUUGGGGCAAGCAGCUUUCCCUGAUCUCCAGGGGAGGUCCGAAAGAGG
rnacentral:lncRNA from 1 species